rnacentral:tRNA from 1 species
GAUGGGUAGCUCAGUUGUUACAGCAUGAGACUCUUUAAUCUCAAGGUCGUGGGUUCGAGCCCCAUGUUGGGCA